rnacentral:rRNA from 1 species
GCGGCGAACGGGUGAGUAACACGUAGGUAAUCUACCUCCAGGUUGGGGAUAACUCCGGGAAACCGAAGCUAAUACCCAAUGGUAUUUGAAGAUGGGGACAUUUUCAAAUUAAAGAUUUAUUGCCGGGAGAUGAGCCUGCGUCUGAUUAGCUUGAUGGUGGGGUAACGGCCUACCAUGGCGACGAUCAGUAGCCGGCCUGAGAGGGUGAACGGCCACAUUGGGACUGAGACACGGCCCAGACUCC